rfam:Geomicrobium sp. JCM 19039 DNA, contig: JCM19039.contig00021.
UAAUGAAUAACUAUACUGCCGCAGACAGUAGGUGCACAUUGUGCGUAAAUCCUGCCGAGGUAUCGAUUUGAUAGAAUAGACACGAUUGUGUCCUUCUGAAUCUCCUCUGUCUGUGUGUAUGCAUAGGCAGGGGAGUUUUUUGAUCCUCUGA